ACCACAGGUCCACAUAGAUCAGCGGUUCUCAGGCCUUGUAGCAAUCCGGAAUCACCGUGGAGGACGACAAGAAGGAAUCUUGGGAAUCCUGCCCAUCGCAGACCAACUGAAUCAGAGUCUGCAGGGGUGAUUCUGAUGCACACCACAGAGGGUUCAUGAAGGCCAAGGAGACAGUGGGAUCUCCCAGGAAAGAGAGAAAGAGUGAGUGCAAAACACAGUCCCGAACCCCAAAGCAUCUUACUAUUGAGCACCAGAAGUGUGUACUUCCUGUCAGUAAAGAAUGCGCUUAAUUGAACUCUAAUGAGCUUUCCACUACUGGCCGCACUCCGGCCCACGGAAUACAUGAAUCACUUGUCCUUAUGCAGUGCAAGAGUCCUCCGCUAAUGUUUGGAGCCCUAAACGUAGCCACUUGAGCUUCCCAUCUAUCAGGCAUAGUUAGGGAUCUCAGAAGCCUCACAUAGCCUGGCGAUAAAACAGAGAAAGAGCUGGAAGGCAAUAAGUGACAAACCCCAGCCCUUCCUAGAUGUCGCUGUGGACAAUGGAUGCUGUCUCCUAGAAACAAUCCCUUUGCCUUGCACCCCAAGACCGGAUGAAGUGAACAUUUCUGAAACACGUCCAGGAGACAGACUGUUCUCUGGGAGGCUACGAGCUGUCUCUCCUAGCAAAGAAGGGAAAAACGAUGAAUGCCCGGAAGUCCGAUCACUGGAUUAAAAGAGAAACGACAUGAAGAGGCCACGUGCAGGUGCUCUAGCCACAGCCCAGCUAAAGACCCCUCCGUCAGCCAGCAUUAAUCACCAGCCACGAUUGUCUGAGGGAUGUGACAUACAUGAAAAGAGUUCAGAGAGUGAAAUUUGGGAUUCCCAGAAUCUCUAUUGGAUUCGAUCUGCCACCUGCCCAUCCCUUCUACCUUUCGCCUGUGGAUCCUGGAAUUGGAGUAGGAAAUGGUUGUAACUCCACAGCACCCUCACAUGGUUCGCCCACCCCAACCUCCCACUUCCAAUGCAGGGCCAGCCUGAAGGGAGGGUACCGAGAAGCAAAACAGCAUCCCUGGCUGCCUAAGUCUUUUUGUGGCAUCGGAUGGACAGACACGCUGAUGAGGAGCAGACUUGUUGCAUGAAAAACAAAUUCUCCUGAAAUACAAGACUCACGCACAGGAGUCAACCCUGAUAAACCGAGAAUAACAGCUCACUCUGUGUGCUCUUCAGUUAGAAGCUUUAACUGGGACCCAGCAACAGUUUCCCCAAGUCACGGCAAGGAUGGAUAGAAGCAGCCCGUGUCUCCUAUUUGCACACUUGAUUUCUAAACAUCAUUUAAAUGCAACAGCGAGAAAAUAGAGUAAUUCAGGAGCAGCAGAUAGGAACCUGAUUCCAGUCACUCUCUGGACAAGACAUUUUCUCUCAACAAUUCAGAGGCCCUUGAAAUGUGCACUUAACCAUACAACGUGUUUUGUGUGUCAGUGGCACAGUCUCUUUGUUGAGAAUUAAUUGUAUGUGCCUUCACUCCUGUUGAAACUACCCUCUAAGAAGACUGGCAGACUUCCAGGGACCCCGGCCCCUGGGACUGACACCCAAGUUCGGGACUUCUUAGUGACUCGGAAUCUGAGAGCCGGACAUUCACACAGUGUUCUUGCUUAAAGGUUCUCUUUGCUGUAAGCUACCCGAGAAGUCAUCACAACGUACAGAGGACAAUGAGCUCUUCACUUCCCGUGAAGUCACCCCACUGUCACUCCAAGGGCACCUUCUUUGCGUUUGUGCACAUCAAAGAAGCUUGAGGGCAAGAUCAUAGCCCCCUGGCCCAGCCCUAGAUUGCGAGCACACAGUGAGGUCAACAACAACAGAAUGCUUUCCUGAUUCAUGGUAAUUCAUCUUCAAAGGACCAGUCCCCUCUCUGGAGGAUCCUCAGGCAUUUUAAGAUGAGUUCCAUCUAAUCGGGCUCAUAAAAGCCCUUCCAGCUUAAUUAAUUUGCUCCAGGUAACUUGUAUAGAAAGCCUGAACACAAAAGAAAAUUAAAAUAU